AUUGAACGCUGGCGGAAUGCUUUACACAUGCAAGUCGAACGGUAGAGGGGGCAACCCCUCGAGAGUGGCGAACGGGUGAGUAAUAUAUCGGAACGUGCCCAGUCGUGGGGGAUAACGUAGCGAAAGUUACGCUAAUACCGCAUACGAUCUAAGGAUGAAAGCGGGGGAUCGCAAGACCUCGCGCGAUUUGAGAGGCCGAUAUCAGAUUAGGUAGUUGGUGGGGUAAAGGCUCACCAAGCCAACGAUCUGUAGCUGGUCUGAGAGGACGGCAAGCCACACUGGAACUGAGACACGGUCCAGACUCCUACGGGAGGCAGCAGUGGGGAAUUUUGGACAAUGGGCGCAAGCCUGAUCCAGCCAUUCCGCGUACAGGACGAAGGCCUUCGGGUUGUAAACUGCUUUUGUACGGAACGAAAAGGCUCUGGUUAAUACCUGGGGCUCAUGACGGUACCGUAAGAAUAAGCACCGGCUAACUACGUGCCAGCAGCCGCAGUAA
rnacentral:rRNA from 1 species